rnacentral:rRNA from 1 species
CCGGCACGGGUGAGUAACACGUAUCCAACCUGCCGUCUACUCUUGGCCAGCCUUCUGAAAGGAAGAUUAAUCCAGGAUGGCAUCAUGAGUUCACAUGUCCGCAUGAUUAAAGGUAUUUUCCGGUAGACGAUGGGGAUGCGUUCCAUUAGAUAGUAGGCGGGGUAACGGCCCACCAAGGCGACGAUCAGUAGGGGUUCUGAGAGGAAGGUCCCCCACAUUGGAACUGAGACACGGUCCAA